UACGUAGGGUGCAAGCGUUGUCCGGAAUUAUUGGGCGUAAAGAGCUCGUAGGCGGCCAGAUAAGUCCGGUGUGAAAGUCACAGGCUCAACCUGUGAAUGCCGCUGGAAACUGUCUGGCUAGAGUCCGGGAGGGGCGAGUGGAAUUCCUGGUGUAGCGGUGAAAUGCGCAGAUAUCAGGAGGAACACCAAUGGCGAAGGCAGCUCGCUGGAACGGUACUGACGCUGAGGCGCGAAAGCGUGGGGG
rnacentral:rRNA from 1 species